GUUGGUUAUUUCUGAUUUAAAUUUAAAAGCAAAUAAUAAUGAUAUGGUAGGAGAUACACAUCAAACAGGAUGUGUAAAUUAUUAUAUAAUAAGUAUUGUGCAAUAGCAAGAAAUUUUCAAUUGCACAGUAUUGCACAAUAGCAAGAAAUCUUCAAUUGCACAGUAUUGCGCAAUAGCAAGAAAUCUUCAAUUGCACAGUAUUGCGCAAUAGCAAGAAAUAUCCAAUAGCACAAUAUUGCGCAAUAGCAAGAAAUUGUCAAUUGUACAGUAUUGCGCAAUAGCAAGAAAUAAUCAAUUGCACAGUAUUGUGCAAAAGAAGAUACUUCGUAUAAAUUGCUUAUUUCUUGAUCAAUUUCAAUGGGGUUUUAUUCUUGAAUUCUUGGGGUUCUUUAAUAUGCUGAAUCUAACCAUGUAUUAAGUUUUUGGAUUUUGGGCCCCGUUUUUUAAAUUGGUCCACAUUGAGGUCCAAAGGGUCCAAAAUUUAACUUUGUUGGAUUUCAUCAAAAAUUGAAUUAUUGGGGUUCUUUGAUAUGCCGAAUCUAACCGUGUAUUUAGAUUCUUAAUUUUUGGUUCUGUUUUCAAAUUGGUCUACAUAAAGGUCCAAAGGGUCCAAAAUUAAACUUAGUUUGAUUUCAACAAAAAUUGAAUAUAUGGGGUUCUUUGAUAUGCUGAAUCUAACCAUGUAUUUAGAUUUUUAAUUAUAGGCCCAGUUUUCAAGUUGGUCCAAAUCGGGGUCCAAAAUUAAACUUUGUUUGAUUUCAACAAAAAUUGAAUAUAUGGGGUUCUUUGAUAUGCUGAAUCUAACCAUGUAUUUAGAUUUUUGAUUAUGGGCCCAGUUUUCAAGUUGGUCCAAAUCGGGGUCCAAAAUUAAACUUUGUUUGAUUUCAACAAAAAUUGAAUAUAUGGGGUUCUUUGAUAUGCUGAAUCUAACCAUGUAUUUAGAUUUUUGAUUGUUGGGCCCCGUUAUCAACUUUGUCCACAUUGAGAUCAAAAGGGUCCAAAAUUAAACUUUGUUUGAUUUCAUCAAAAAUUGAAUAUAUGGGGUUCUUUGAUAUGCUGAAUCUAACCAUGUAUUUAGAUUUUUGAUUAUGGGCCCAGUUUUCAAGUUGGUCCAAAUCGGGGUCCAAAAUUAAACUUUGUUUGAUUUCAACAAAAAUUGAAUAUAUAGGGUUUUUUGAUAUGCUGAAUCUAACCAUGAAUUUAGAUUUUUGAUUAUGGGCCCAGUUUUCAAGUUGGUCCAAAUCGGGUUCCAAAAUUGAACUUUGUUUGAUUUCAACAAAAAUUGAAUAUAUGGGGUUCUGUAAUAUGCUGAAUCUAACCGUGUAUUAAGUUUUUGGAUUUUGGGCCCCGUUUUUAAAUUGGUCCACAUUGAAGUCCAAAGGGUCCAAAAUUUAACUUUGUUUGAUUUCAUCAAAAAUUGAAUUAUUGGGGUUCUUUGAUAUGCCGAAUCUAACCGUGUAUUUAGAUUCUUAAUUUUUGGUUCCGUUUUCAAAUUGGUCUACAUAAAGGUCCAAAGGGUCCAAAAUUAAACUUAGUUUGAUUUUAACAAAAAUUGAAUUUUUAGGGUUCUUUGAUAUGCUGAAUCUAAACAUGUAUUUAGAUUUUUGAUUAUGGGCCCAGUUUUCAAGUUGGUCCAAAUCGGGGUCCAAAAUUAAACUUUGUUUGAUUUCAACAAAAAUUGAAUAUAUGGGGUUCUUUGAUAUGCUGAAUCUUACCAUGUAUUUAGAUUUUUUAUUUGUGGGCCCGCUAUCAAAUUGGUUCAUAUUGAGGUCAAAAGGGUCCAAAAUUAAACUUUGUUUGAUUUCAUCAAAAAUUGAAUUAUUGGGGUUCUUUGAUAUGCCAAAUCUAACCGUGUUUUUAGAUUUUUAAUUUUUUGGUCCCGUUUUUUAAAUUGGUCUACAUUAAGGUCCAAAGGGUCCAAAAUUAAACUUAGUUUGAUUUUAACAAAAAUUGAAUUCUUGGGGUACUUUGAUAUGCUGAAUCUAAACAUGUGUUUAGAUUUUUGAUUAUGGGACCAGUUUUCAAGUUUGUCCAAGUUGGGGUCCAAAAUUUUACUUUGUUUGAUUUCAACAAAAAUUGAAUAUAUGGGGUUCUUUGAUAUGCUGAAUCUAACCAUGUAUUUUGAUUUUGGACAUUGUACCAUAAUAGGUAAAUUAAAAAAAUUGAAGUUCUUAGACCACAUUCUUUCUGUGUCAGAAACCUAUGCUGUGUCAAAUAUUUAAUCACAAUCCAAAUUCAGAGCUGUAUCAAGCUUGAAUGUUGUGUCCAUACUUGUCCCAACUGUUCAGGAUUCGACCUCUGCGGUCGUAUCAAGCUGCGCCCAGCGAAGCAUUUUAUU